rnacentral:lncRNA from 1 species
GUAAAUUCUCCACUGUGAGGCUACAUCAAGCUCACAGGUCAAAAUUACACCAAGUGAGAAAGUGAAGCGCCUUCCCCUCCUCACCUCCCUAAGUCUCUUCCUCCUUGGUAUCCUGAUGUUCUCUGCAUUCCUGAUGAUUCCUGUGAUGUUCUACCCUAGGCCUGACCCCACGUCAAGUUCCAAGUUUAUGUCAUCAGAAUUUUAUCUCUUCACUGCAGCUGAUUUCAAUAAGGCAAAUCCACACGAGAGUGGAAAUGGUUUGGCGCAACAGGUCAUUUCCAUCAGCUGAAAUGAGAUCAGUUCCUAUACCGGAGAUGGGCAUUCAGGAAAAAGUUCUCCAAUUUUG